rnacentral:rRNA from 1 species
GGGUCAGUAGGUUGGUCGUGCCACCGGUACGUACUGGUCUCACUGAUUCCUCCUUCCUGAAGAACCGUAAUGCCAUUAAUUUGGUGUUGCGGGGAAACAGGACUGUUACUUUGAAAAAAUUAGAGUGUUUAAAGCAAGCUAACGCUUGGAUACAUUAGCAUGGAAUAAUGAAAUAGGACGAUCGAUCCUAUUUUGUUGGCUUCUAGGAUUGACGUA